rnacentral:snRNA from 1 species
UGACGCGAGGGUGAUCUGCCUGCAACAUCUGUCACCCCAUUGAUGGCCAGGGUUGAUUCCGCUGAUCUAGCCGGCUAGGCGGGUGUCCCCUCCCACCCUCACCGUCCCGUGUGCGUCCCUCCCACACCC